AUGGCUCCGACGAAGGAGGAGAAAGGGAAGAAGCCCUUGCCUCCGCCGAGCUCGUCACCGUCGGCGACCCCCGCCAUCGGGCGGUCGACCAUACUCAAUCUGGAGUGCCUGGGUAAGCUUAUCCCGGCUCUGGCCACUGUCUUCAACGAGUGUGGGAGGACGACGGCCUGGCCUACGUCUCGCUUCCCCACGGAUCAGAUAAUCACUGAGGUCCCUUGCUUUGCCGACGCUUUGUGGGCGGGUCUGAUUCCCCCCUUUUCUGACUUCUUCAAUGCCGUCCUCUCCCAUUACCAGAUCCAUAUGAUGCAUCUGGGUCCCGAAUCCAUUGUGCUCCUAUCAGUCUUUGCUUUCGUCUGCGAGGCGAUGAUGGGCAUCGCGCCCUCCAUUGCCUUGCUGCGCCACUUCUUCUCCCUUCGCCUGGCUGAUCCUACUCAAUGUUCAGCGUGUGUGAGCUUCAUUGCCGCAUCUGAAACGGCGGCUUCAGGGAUUGACUUUGAACUUCCUUCGCCUUCGCCCGGGUUCUGGGAGCGAUGGUUAUACGUCGACGUCGGGGUGCCCAGCCCCCUGCUGGAGAAGCCAAUCUUGCCCGCUAUGCCCAAUUCGGGCUGGGGCCAGGAGACGCUCGUGAGCCCCUGGCUCGCCUUCGUCUGGCGUCGCUUCGAUUUCCUGAAAGGGCUCGGCGUGACAGCACGCAAGGUGGUGAAGGAGUUCUUGCUGUGCCGCAUUGCUCCUCUCCAGCGUCACUCCCGCCGGAUGUGGUCCUUCAGCGGGUCUGGUGAUCGUAUGAGGCUUCAGGAGGAAGACCUGGUGCCCCAGGCGCUAAGCACAGUGCUUCUAGCCUUGAUUGGCGACCCCAACCCGGGCAGCGUUCGGCAUGGAGGGGCCCUGCUGUAUCUUUGUCAUAACAAGGAUGACCUCGUGAGGCAGAUGCCCUCCUUUGAUUAA
rnacentral:rRNA from 1 species